UACUGCAUUUCUGAUGGGCAUAUACUCGGUCAUUUGUGUGCAUAUGAUGUGGGAAAUCUGCAUAACCAAAUAUUGGGCAGUAUAACUGCCUGUAUAAUCAUUCAUUAAUUUUAUUAAAGGUGAGCUGGGACUGGAAUGAGGAUUAAUUAUAAAAAGUAAAAAGCAUAAUUAGGAGCAUACUUUUCCUCUUACAGCUAUCUUUUUCUCUGAAUUCUUUUUCUUGGUGCCCUAAUUAUUUCCCCUCUUUUAAAAUUCACUUUAAUUUCAAUUUAACUCUCCCUGGGCAUGCAAACUUGACUUUUUUUUUUCCCUCAAAGAUUGAUUGACAGCAGUUUCGGAACUGUGACAGUGCUAAUUAAAACCUUGAAUCUAUGUUUUUAUGAAGCCUGAAAGACUCUGCAGCGCUACAGGAUCCAGAAUCUUGUGUCUUGAAUGAAUUUUUUUAACAGCUAAUAUGGAAUCAUUAAUAGUUGCCUUUCCUCAGGCUUGAUAUCCAGCUCUCUAUUUAUCACUUAUUUUAGAGCUUUUAGAGUUGACAACAUGAGAAGUGGAAGUCCUCCCAGGUAAUGAUACCUGUUCUGUCUAGCCAGUGUCAUUUUACACUUUGCCUUUUCUUCUUGGCAGAGCUGGGCAGAGUUGGCCCUUACCAAAUGGCAACACAGUUUAACUCACAGUCCUGUGUGCUCAUGGGGAAUUCAUGGUAGCAAUACUGUGGUCGUUUUACUGUCUGUGGACUGACCGACUCUACUGAAACUAUGUUGUCAGGAAUCUUCUACCUUACACUUGAAAGAAGAAUAUUGAUAGCAUAAGGCAUUGAGUGUUGUAUGCAUUAGAAUUGAAUCCUGAUUUCUAGCUUGCAAACUUUCUGGAGGCCAGAGUAUUUCCAGAAUCUUAAGCUCUACAGCCUAAUCGUUAGGAUUGCCUGCUGGAGAAGGCGCUGUCUUUUCAGCACCUGAGUCCUUUCUGAACAUGAUACACUAUUAGACUCAGCUGCCUCACCUGUGGGCCUGAAUACCCAAUACCCAGUGUAAAUCUUUUUGUCUGAGUGCUUUUCCUUUCUGUCUGAAUAGUUAUGUUUUCAUCCUCAUCAUCUUCCUCCACUGAAUCAAGGUCAGCAAGACCAUCCAGAGGGAAGGACAGAAAAACAGCAUUGUGACAAGAGAUAGCAGAGCUCAGUGUGAAUUGAUUGGUGAAGGAUGAUUUUGAAAGAUCUCAGCUACUGUAAAAGCAGCUGGUAAAAAAACCUCAACAUCUCCAGCUGAUAAGGAUGAUCUGUCUUGCCUCUGCAUCUGCCACCCCAUGCACACUUGCUGUAUGUAUUUAGAAUACAUGUAUUUCUUAAGUCCCUGCCUGCAUCACUCCUUUGUCACAGUAAUUUUCAUGGGAAAAAUUGCUAUCCAUCAAUUCGUGAGCUGUUGGACUAUUUUGGAAUACAUCAUAAACAUAUCAGGGUAUAGAGAAGUGAAAGUGAACUUAACUAUGGAGGGCAAAAAGCAGGUGUCACUGAUAUAUUUUUCCCUUCCUUAUGCAAAAACCUUUCUGGCAAAAUUAUCAUAAGGAGCUAACACAGUUAUUCUUAAGGAACUGCUUUUGCCACAUGUGUUUAGUCUUGGCUAGAGUGGUUAUUGCUUGCAUUUCUGAUUUUAAUAUGAAUGUCUGCAAGAAAUUGCAUCUGGCGAUAGUAACUGCCUGCCAUGGCAGUGAUUGUGCCUAAUUGCAGAGAAGAUAUAUCCAUAGAUCAAAAAUUGCUAAUUUGGGUCACCUCUGCUCAUAAAGAUGGAAGGGAUUAUGUGAUUUUGACUCGUUUUUACCUAAAAGGAGUAUUUAUCAGUCCCUGAACAUCUCCUUUUCAAACAGAAAUAUUAUAAUUUGUUAAAUAUAAAAUAAUAAUUUUAUUCCCCCCUUUAUAAAUGAUUGAUAGCAUUUGCAGUAAGAGUGUUCUGAUUGAUAAGUGCUAGGCUCUGUAUAACAUGGUAUCAAUACUCUUGCCUGCAAAUGCUUAUAAGGUAAUUUUAUGACAAGCACAAUGGACUAUAGCUAGCUAAAUACAGAAUGGGAAGGUGGUAGAACAUCACAAUGAUCUUGUUUUGCAUGAAAAGGAAUAGUUUUAAUUGAUCAUGCUCUGAGACAGACUACAGUUUAAAAAAAUGGAAGUGCUAAAAAGACAAAAUAUGGUAAUUUAUUUUUUUCUUUCUGAGCAGGAGUUUCUUAUCAGUGUGCAGAUGUACCAUUCCUUCUCUCUUGAUGAGUAUCAGAGUGCAAAAGGUCUAGCUGAUAAAUAAAGUUCUUUAAUGAUCCAAAGGUAACUUUGGCAAGUAAAGGAUAUCAGAUAUUGGAGGCUGAAUUAACUGUUGCUCUCUGUAUAGUACCAGGGACUUAUCUUUCAUACAGUGAAAAAAGAGAGCAAAGUUUGAGCAGAAUGACUGUCUAUUUUGCUUUGUGAAUCUGGAUCUAAACAACAGGUGGAAAGGAGAAAACAGAGCAGUGGCAACCACUGUGGUUUUCAUCUUUCCUCAAUGAAUGUGUUUCUUGUAGUGUUUUUAGACUGAAAAUAAUCCUGCAUUGUUAUUAAUCAUAUUUAUUAUUACAGUGGUUAAGGGUCAGCCAAGUAUUGAUCCCCAUUUAGCUAAGCCCUGUACAAACACAAAGUUGACAGUCUAAACAGACGAGUUGAAAAUAAUGUAGAGCAUAAACGAAGUAAACUGCUCAUAGCAGGUCUUGUCAGUUCCACAGUUAAUUUUAGUAGGAGAUGAAUAAUUUGAAAAGAGAAGCAAAGGAAGUUGGUUAGGGAAUGACUGAAGGCCAGUAAAAGGAAGAAUGUGGAAAAAGCUAAGUAUGUGUUGGAGUCAUGGAGCUGCUUAUAAAUGAAGAACUGCAUUAAGAGACAGUUAUCUAUUAUGAAGCCAUCUCUCUCCUCCAAAACAGAAAGUCUUAUGACUGACAUCAGGUCUGUGUUCAGAACCUCAAUUUUGCAACAAAUUAUUGAAAGCAACAUACUUUCUUUUGUGUUAGCAGUGUGCAACUAAUUUGUUUUCACCUAUUUUUACAGCAUCAUUUGGUAGCAUACAGAAAGUUGAAGGGAACCUGGGGGUGUUUCCAGCUUUUCAGCUCCUCUCCACUCUGCUCUUGUUUCCUGCAACAACAUAAGCCAGUUUCUAAUAUUAACAGAUUUAGAUACCAGAUUAAUUUCUGGGUAUCACUGAUGCUUAUUCUACCCCUUUCAGACUAGGGCAGGCUCAGCCAUCAGUAAAAGUCUUAGGUCCUUGUGUGGCCAGGAAUUGUAUGUGGCUGCAGAACCUUGUACUCUUCACUCUUUGUGGAAAUCUCUACUCCUGUGUGUAGUCUACUUUCUGGGAAUCCUCUGUUUAAGCAGUCCUAUAUGACAUGGAGCCCUGCAUCACUUACUGCUGGAAGGAGGGAAUCCUUAAUGUCCCAGUGUCUGUCAGACACUUCCCACUGCUUGUAGUUUUAUAGUACUGUCACUGCAUUAGUGCACUGGAGCAGUUUGUCUGGACAGGUUGUGAAAUGCCCAUCCUCAGAGAGCUUCAAAAUGCGAUUGGACAAGGCCCUAGGCAAUCUGAUCUAGCUUUGAUGUUAAGCAUGGCUUGAACCAUAUGCUCAACUGAAUGGCCUCCCAUGAACCCUUCAUACCUAAAUUACUCUGCAAUGACCCAAAUUACACUGCCAGUACAUCUGUAAAAUCUCUGGGCAAAAAUUCUGAUUUGAUCAUCUUUUAAGUAAGUAUUUAGGAAGGCGUAGAAAGAUGAGGCCUGAGUUGCCUCCGAAUGAAACCACAGAUCUUCCAAAGAUGCAUUUGAAACAAUUGCAACUGCUCCAAAAAAACUUAUUGUUAAUGGCAGUGGCUUUUAUUGAUUCAGUUUUCUUCUGUGGAUUUACCAUUUCUUGUUCAUAGAGUUUAAAACAGCUGGUCCACCGUUCUUCAUUAAAGAUGAUGUCUUAUUUAAGGACUUUGGUGGACUGAAAGAGUUCUCAGAUGAUCUUGAGUUUAUGUGGUCUGUUUCAUGGGACCUUUGCUGCCACUUCUCUAUGCCUCUUUCAGGAUUUCAGGAAAGACUUUUUGUGUUUUAGAGUUCUAAGCUUCUAGGUACUAACAAUUAGUCUUUUGGCACAAAGCUGAUAUCAUCUGCCAACAGAUAAAAAUUUGUAAAAAAAAAAUCUAUCUGCAUUCCUUCCUUUCCUGAAAUAAAUCAGAAAAACAUUUGUGUUUUUAACUGAAAUAGUUUCAGGCUCAUGCUAACUGCAGCAAAAUUUCAUUUAUUAUUCCCAGCUGUUCAGCAUUUGUAGAACCCAUCUAGAGGGCAGUGAUUAACUGGAGUAAGAUGCAAAUGGACUAAGGGAUAGCUGUACUUCCCUUCCAACUGAACUAUUCUAUUCUAUUUUGAAGUUCAACAUAGGGUGUAGAAGGUUGGACUUGAGACCUCUUGAUGUCCCUUCUAACCUGAGUUGUCCAAAGAACCAUUGCUCCUAUGCUAAGAAUCCUUUUCACAGUGGACAAUCCCAAACACUCACAAUACACAUGUUCUAUGCAAAUGCUCCUGCUAUGUGUGUCUUUUCCUCUGAAAAGGAUGAAGAGAAAAAUAGUGGUGCUUUCACAAAGAUAAAUUUACUAUUCUUCCUGUUUGACUCAAUAGGGAACUGUGAAUCUACAGUUUCACUACCUGGGUGAACUUUGUUUCUUAAUUCCCUCAGUAAUAAGUCAUGCUAUAAAUUUUCAUCUGAAUUUGCAGUUACUAUAAGCAAAAUAAUUAUAAGAUACAAAAUACAUAAUACUUUAGGCUGAACUCUUUGUUAGGCCUAUCUGCAAAUCCCCUAAUUUGUAGGUAUUUACUUGCACAAAGAAAGCUAAAAAAAUAAAUUUUGUGUUUCUUUAAAAGCUGUGUAAAAUGCACAUAUCUGACAGAUCUCACUAAAGAGUUUUUUGAAGAUGUACUAAAAAAGCAGUCUUGUUUGGGUAAGAUCAAAUUAUUUUCUUGAAUAAUGAACUGAGGGCUCAAACCAGUGUGAAUGUGGUUACAAAAAUGAGACAAUGACAACUUAAGCAAAUGAUGUCUUUUGCUUCCUAUUAUGGGACAUCACUUGAUGUCAGCACUGAUUUAUUGGUCUUACAGCUGAAACUUAGUCUAAGCAAGGAUGUUUUGGAUUAUCAGACAGGGAGGCAAGUGACACAGGAGGAAUGUCUUUUUCAGGAUCUUUCACUUUCCUUUAACUUUUUACAUAAAUUCAAACCACAGGUACAGCAAAGUGAGGGACAGAAUAAUUCUCAUGGCCAAGCUUCAAUAAAGAAGGGCAGCAUGGAGAGCACAAAUUUGUUUCAGACUUUUAUGAAUAGAGAGAAAUGGCCUGUUGCAUUUCUUUACAGAUCUACAGAUUUCCUGGGCUUCUCCUUCCUGAGGGGAUGCUGAGUUAUGCAAAAAGUGUUGUUUAAAAGCACUGAGAAGUCCCAGAUUUUUCAUUAUGAAAAAUUAGUAACAGUAAAACAAGAAGUUUCAGUUAGGUAAUUAAUUCUUCAUUUGACCACCUAAAUCAGUGCAAUUGGUUUCCUUUAUGUGACACAAGUAGAAUUUGAGAGCAGAUUUGGCUUCAAAUGCACUUGUUAAAACAGGUAAUUAUAUUUCAUCUUAGUGUACUUGGCACUUGGUGAUUAUGCAUUACUGAUUUGUGUAGCCAAUCUUCAAAACUGAUGUUAAUAAUGUCAAGUCUUUGUAUGGAAGUAUUUGUUUAAGACACCAUAGCUUUGCUUUUUUUAGUGAACUAGAAGUAGAUUCUGAAUUUGCUUUCUUAUCAUGUCCAUACUCUGGCUCUGUAAUAGGUUAUUAUAUGUUUCAAGUUCUUAGGGUUUUGGAUAUGGCAAGAAAAAAUGUAAGUGUCACUUCUGGAGUAUACAGUAGGUAGUUUACUUUGUAAAAAGCCAACAACUUGGCUUUUUUCUUCUCCUUCCAAAAUAGAGGUGACAGGUUAUUUUUAAAAACACAUCUUAGGCAAGUAAUUCAAACCUCAAAUUUCUAUAGUCCUUUAAGUGUCAUUUUUUUUCCUAAAGGCUGUUAUCAAAAUAAUCUAAAUCACUUUCUUUCUAUUAAUCAAAGAAUUACAGCACUUAAAUUUGUAGUUGUCACUCACAUAGUUUGUGCCUAAAGCAUUUUGAAAUUGUUUUGUGUGGUCUUUUCAAUCACUCUGUUUUUUUUUUUCUCAAGACAUUGUCAACAUGCACAAAGAAUGGGAUCACAAUGGUAAUGAAUUUCAUUCCUUUGGGACUUACAAGGUGAGAUGUAAUCUGAUCUCCAAGGGCUUUAACAAAAAUAGUCAUUGUUUCAGAAAUUCUAACAUUAAACACAAUCAACAACUACUCAGUCAAUGGAAUAUCUUUCCCAGUAAAUUGGAAAACAUAAGCAAGACUUUCCUACUCAGCUCAACAAAACCUAAUGAAAUCCAUAAAUUGGCAUCUUCAAGAAAUAAUUUCUGGUUUUCAUAUUGAAAAUUCAAAGAUAGGUAACACCUCACCAUUGCUUUGGGCAUUUUAUGUUUUAGCAGAAUUCCUAAAACAGCACCUGCAUUAUGAGAUUAGAAGAGAUUGCAUUAGAUUGUUAUUAUUAUUAGGAAUUAUUUGUUCAUGUUGUAGAAACUUGGAAAAGCAGACAUUACUGUACUAAAGACCAUAUGAUCUUGAAGUAUUUUUGUCUAAAAGUAACAGGGACAGAUAAAAAGUAAUGAAGAGUUCAAGGACUGAUAGAUGAGAUCCAUUUACAUGUUGGAGAGUCAUGCAUAAAAUAAAUGUGAACAUAAUAUUUCUAAUACGGGCUACUGCAAGCAGUGUAGUAAUUUUGAUUCAUUAAUCAGCUGUACAUUGUUGAGGUAUAAUGUAUUCUUUGACUGUGUAUGUUCUUAAUUAGCUUGAACAAACAGAAUUUGUCUAAAGAUUUAUGGGAUAAAUAAACACAAAAUUUAGCACAUCAUCAUAGACUUUCUGGGAUGAUAUAGACUUUUUUUAUUACCUCUAAGUAGGUGUGUUGAUUAAACUGUAAUGUACAAAAGAGAGGAAUAUUAAUUAUUUAUUGAUUAUAAUAUUAUUUUUAAAAGUAUAUUUUACAGUUUCACACUUUGCUUAGCUCACUGUAAGUUAAGACAUUUAACAGAAACCUAAUUCAUAAUAAAACUAUUAUUAUUAAUAUUUAACACUUAGCAUGUCAUGUUGAUGUAGAGAACAAUAAAUAUAUGUAGAUUAUCCACUGAAGUUGACCACCACUUGUGUAGUCAGACACAUUCAGUGUACUUAUUAAUGACAUGUAUUCUCCUUAAAUUGUAUUGAAUUCAUUUAAAAACUGGUCAAUAAAAUCUACACUGGUAGAAUAAAAAAAACCAAGAAUGAAUUAUGUUUAUAAUUGGACAGGCAUUUUGAAAGAAAUAAAAAUAUAAAUGAAGGAAAUGCGUUCCUUUUUAUUUCUUGAUUUUAUUCAGAGAACAGACAGAACUCUUGGGUAAUUUUCUCCACCCUUCUGACAGCCCUGACAGAAUUGAAUGUUGUGGUUUGAUGCCUUUUUUUUUUAAUCAGUAGGACAGCAACUAAGAAUUUUACCCAUGACAGCCCGAGUCAGAACAAGACAGGAAAGUAAAUCAAGACUGCUUCCAUACCAGCAGCAACAAAAGAGAAUGCACUGUCACAUGAAAUGCCUGGAUCUCAGGCUGAUGUGUUCAGUGAGAGGCUAUCCAUUGACUAGGAUACAGGGAACAACUGAUUACAAAUUAUGACCAGGCCUGCCCAAGAAGAGGAAAGACUGACUAUUCUUACCUCUGUGAGAGAUGAAUGCUACAUCUGCUAGG